AGACAAAUAACUAAGUAAAAGUAUAUCAAUUACACUGAUAGAAUGAUUAGAUUAUCUUUGUCUU